rnacentral:rRNA from 1 species
GGGGAAUAUUGCACAAUGGGCGCAAGCCUGAUGCAGCGACGCCGCGUGAGGGAUGACGGCCUUCGGGUUGUAAACCUCUUUCAGCACAGACGAAGCGCAAGUGACGGUAUGUGCAGAAGAAGGACCGGCCAACUACGUGCCAGCAGCCGCGGUAAUACGUAGGGUCCGAGCGUUGUCCGGAAUUACUGGGCGUAAAGAGCUCGUAGGUGGUUUGUCGCGUUGUCCGUGAAAACUCACAGCGCAACUGUGGGCGUGCGGGCGAUACGGGCAGACUGGAGUACUGCAGGGGAGACUGGAAUUCCUGGUGUAGCGGUGGAAUGCGCAGAUAUCAGGAGGAACACCGGUGGCGAAGGCGGGUCUCUGGACUGUAACUGACACUGAGGCACGAAAGCGUGGGGAGCAAAC